GGAAACGACUGCUAAUACCCAAUAUGCAGGAAUGUGAAAUAAAUUUUGCCUGAAGAGGAGCUCGCGUCCGAUUAGUUAGUUGGUGAGGCAAGAGCUUACCAAGGCGGCGAUCGGUAGCUGGUCUGAGAGGAUGAGCAGCCACACUGGGACUGAGACACGGCCCAGACUCCUACGGGAGGCAGCAGUGGGGAAUUUUCCGCAAUGGGCGAAAGCCUGACGGAGCAAUACCGCGUGAGGGAGGAAGGCUUUUGGGUUGUAAACCUCUUUUAUUAAGGAAGAAGAAAGUGACGGUACUUAAAGAAUCAGCAUCGGCUAACUCCGUGCCAGCAGCCGCGGUAAUACGGAGGAUGCAAGCGUUAUCCGGAAUUAUUGGGCGUAAAGCGUCCGCAGGUGGCUCCUCAAGUCUGCUGUUAAAGACAGAAGCUUAACUUCUGAGCGGCGGUGGAAACUGGGGAGCUGGAGUACGGUAGGGGUUGAGGGAAUUCCCAGUGUAGCGGUGAAAUGCGUAGAGAUUGGGAAGAACACCAGUGGCGAAGGCGCUCAACUGGACCGUAACUGACACUCAGGGACGAAAGCU
rnacentral:rRNA from 1 species